ACGCAUAUUAGGCCUUCGUUGCUCCGCUUCCGGUUGUGAGCGCAAUUGGAGCACAUUUGAUUUUAUUCACACCAAGAAGAGGAAUAGACUAGAACAUCAGCGCUUGAAUGAUCUAGUCUAUAUCCAAUACAAUCGUCGGCUUCAUUCAAAGUUCCAAGAAAGAAGGGAAAAAGGCAGCAAUUGUGAUCCAUUAAUUUUUGAUGAAAUGAAUUGGAGUAAUGAAU